rnacentral:rRNA from 1 species
UACGUAGGGGGCAAGCGUUGUCCGGAUUUAUUGGGCGUAAAGAGCGUGUAGGCGGCCAGAUAAGUCCGCUGUGAAAUCUCGAGGCUCAACUUCGAGCUGUCGGUGGAAACUGUCUGGCUAGAGUCCGGAAGGAGGAGAAUGGAAUUCCUGGUGUAGCGGUGAAAUGCGCAGAUAUCAGGAAGAACACCCGUGGCGAAGGCGGUUCUCUGGGACGGUACUGACGCUGAGACGCGAAAGCGUGGGGAGCGAACAGG